CACGUAGGGGGGCAAGCGUUGUCCGGAAUCAUUGGGCGUAAAGAGCUCGUAGGCGGCUCAGUAAGUCGGGUGUGAAACCCUCAGGCUCAACCUGGGGACGCCACCCGAUACUGCUGUGGCUAGAGUCCAGUAGGGGAGUGUGGAAUUCCCGGUGUAGCGGUGAAAUGCGCAGAUAUCAGGAGGAACACCGAUGGCGAAGGCAGGUCUCUGGGGCAUUAACUGACGCUGAGGAGCGAAAAGCAUGGGGGAGCGAACAGG
rnacentral:rRNA from 1 species